rnacentral:rRNA from 1 species
UAAGGAAUAUUGGUCAAUGGACGCAAGUCUGAACCAGCCAUGCCGCGUGAAGGAUGAAGGUCCUCUGGAUUGUAAACUUCUUUUAUCUGGGACGAAAACGGGAUUUUUAUCUCAAUUGACGGUACCAGAGGAAUAAGCACCGGCUAACUCCGUGCCAGCAGCCGCGGUAAUACGGAGGGUGCGAGCGUUAUCCGGAUUUACUGGGUUUAAAGGGUGCGUAGGUGGGCUUAUAAGUCAGUGGUGAAAUCUCCGAGCUUAACUUGGAAACUGCCGUUGAUACUAUAGGUCUUGAAUUAUCUGGAGGUAAGCGGAAUAUGUCAUGUAGCGGUGAAAUGCUUAGAUAUGACAUAGAACACCAAUUGCGAAGGCAGCUUACUACAUAUAAAUUGACGCUGAGGCACGAAAGCUUGGGGAUCAAACA